UCCCUGGUGGCUCAGACAGUAAAGCGUCUGCCUGUAAUGCGGGAGACCCAGGUUCAAUUCCUGGGUCGGGAA
rnacentral:tRNA from 1 species